UCUAGAGGCUUCGGCAAUGGGGGCAACCCUGACCGAGCGACGCCGCGUGUGGGAUGAAGCCCUUCGGGGUGUAAACCGCUGUUAGCAGGAAAGAAUACCGGGAAAGUGAUUCCCGGGGUGACGGUACCUGCAGAGGAAGCCACGGCUAACUCCGUGCCAGCAGCCGCGGUAAGACGGAGGUGGCAAGCGUUAUUCGGAUUUAUUGGGCGUAAAGGGCGCGUAGGCGGUUUGGUAAGUCUGAUGUGAAAUCUCCAUCGCUCAACGAGGAGUCUGCAUCGGAUACUGCCAAUCUUGAGUACGGGAGAGGUGAGUGGAAUUCCUGGUGUAGCGGUGGAAUGCGUAGAUAUCAGGAGGAACACCGGUGGCGAAAGCGGCUCACUGGCCCGUAACUGACGCUGAGGCGCGAAAGCGUGGGGAGCAAACA
rnacentral:rRNA from 1 species